rnacentral:rRNA from 1 species
UACGGAAGGCAGCAGUGGGGAAUAUUGCACAAUGGGCGCAAGCCUGAUGCAGCCAUGCCGCGUGUAUGAAAAAGGCCUUCGGGUUGUAAAGUACUUUCAGUCGUGAGGAAGGUGUUAAGGUUAAUAACCUUAGCAAUUGACGUUAGCGACAGAAGAAGCACCGGCUAACUCCGUGCCAGCAGCCGCGGUAAUACGGAGGGUGCGAGCGUUAAUCGGAAUUACUGGGCGUAAAGGGCACGCAGGCGGUUAAUUAAGUUGGAUGUGAAAUCCCCGGGCUUAACCUGGGAAUGGCAUUCAAGACUGGUUAGCUAGAGUCUUGUAGAGGGGGUAGAAUUCCAUGUGUAGCGGUGAAUGCGUAGAGAUGUGGAGGAAUACCGGUGGCGAAGGCGGCCCCUGGACAAAGACUGACGCUCAUGUGCGAAGCGUGGGGAGCAAACAGGGAUUAGAUACC